rnacentral:rRNA from 1 species
UACGUAGGGUGCGGAGCGUUGUCCGGAAUUAUUUGGGGCGUAAAAGAGCUCGUAGGCGGUGUGUCACGUCGGCCGUGAAAAACCUGCAGGCUUAACUGUGGGCGUGCGGUCGAUACGGGCAUCACUGGAGUUCGGCAGGGGAGACUGGAAUUCCUGGUGGAUCAGCGGUGGAAAUGACGCAGAUAUCAGGAGGAACACCGGUGGCGAAGGCGGGUCUCUGGGCCGAUACUGACGCUGAGGAGCGAAAGCGUGGGGGAGCAAACAGG